UAAGGUUAAGUUAAUAAGGGCGCACGGUGGAUGCCUUGGCACUAGAAGCCGAAGAAGGACGUGACUAACGACGAAAUGCUUUGGGGAGCUGUAAGUAAGCGCUGAUCCAGAGAUGUCCGAAUGGGGGAACCCACUAGCUACUGGCUAGUAUCCAUAACUGUUAAGGUUAUGAGAAGGAAGACGCAGUGAACUGAAACAUCUAAGUAGCUGCAGGAAGAGAAAGCAAACGCGAUUGCCUUAGUAGCGGCGAGCGAAACGGCAGGAGGGCAAACCGAGAAGUUUACUUCUCGGGGUUGUAGGACUGCGACGUGGGACUUUAAAAGGAUAGAAGAAUUACCUGGGAAGGUAAGCCAAAGAGAGUAAUAGCCUCGUAUUUAAAAUUCUUUUGAGCCCUAGCAGUAUCCUGAGUACGGCGAGACACGCGAAAUCUCGUCGGAAUCUGGGAGGACCAUCUCCCAACCCUAAAUACUCUCUAGUGACCGAUAGUGAACCAGUACCGUGAGGGAAAGGUGAAAAGCACCCCGGGAGGGGAGUGAAAUAGAACCUGAAACCGUGUGCCUACAACAAGUUCGAGCCCGUUAAUGGGUGAGAGCGUGCCUUUUGUAGAAUGAACCGGCGAGUUACGAUAUGAUGCGAGGUUAAGUUGAAGAGACGGAGCCGCAGGGAAACCGAGUCUUAAUAGGGCGACUUAGUAUCAUGUUGUAGACCCGAAACCAUGUGACCUACCCAUGAGCAGGUUGAAGGUGCGGUAAGACGCACUGGAGGACCGAACCAGGGCACGUUGAAAAGUGCUUGGAUGACUUGUGGGUAGCGGAGAAAUUCCAAACGAACUUGGAGAUAGCUGGUUCUCUCCGAAAUAGCUUUAGGGCUAGCGUCGAUGUUAAGUCUCUUGGAGGUAGAGCACUGUUUGGGUGAGGGGUCCAUCUCGGAUUACCAAUCUCAGAUAAACUCCGAAUGCCAACGAGAUAUAAUCGGCAGUCAGACUGCGAGUGCUAAGAUCCGUAGUCGAAAGGGAAACAGCCCAGACCACCAGCUAAGGUCCCAAAAUAUAUGUUAAGUGGAAAAGGAUGUGGGGUUGCACAGACAACUAGGAUGUUAGCUUAGAAGCAGCUAUUCAUUCAAAGAGUGCGUAAUAGCUCACU
rnacentral:rRNA from 1 species